rnacentral:rRNA from 1 species
AAUGAACGCUGGCGGCGUGCCUAACACAUGCAAGUCGAAUGUGGCAUCCAUCUUCGGAUGGGUGGUGCAUGGCAGACGGGUGAGUAACGCGUGGGCAAUCUACCUUUUAGUGGGGAAUAACGCUCCGAAAGGAGUGGUAAUACCGCAUGAGACCUUUGGCUGGGAUGCUGGAGGUGAAACCUGGGGACCGCAAGGCCUGGGGCUAAAAGAGGAGCCUGCGUCUGAUUAGCUAGUUGGUGGGGUAACGGCCUACCAAGGCAUCGAUCAGUAGCCGGCCUGAGAGGGUGAUCGGCCACACUGGAAC